UACGUAGGUGGCAAGCGUUAUCCGGAUUUACUGGGUGUAAAGGGCGUGUAGGCGGGAGUGCAAGUCAGAUGUGAAAACCACGGGCUCAACCUGUGGCCUGCAUUUGAAACUGUACUUCUUGAGUACUGGAGAGGCAGACGGAAUUCCUAGUGUAGCGGUGAAAUGCGUAGAUAUUAGGAGGAACACCAGUGGCGAAGGCGGUCUGCUGGACAGCAACUGACGCUGAGGCGCGAAAGCGCGGGGAGCAAACAGG
rnacentral:rRNA from 1 species